GAUAAACGCUAGCGGCAGGCUUAACACAUGCAAGUCGAGGGGCAGCAUAGAUUGUAGCAAUACAAUUGGUUGCGACCGGCGCACGGGUGCGUAACGCGUAUGCAACCUACCCGUCACAGGGGGAUAAUCCGGAGAAAUCUGGUCUAAUACCCCAUAACAUAUGGAUCGGCAUCGGUUCAUGUUGUAAUUUUCGGAGGUGACGGAUGGGCAUGCGUAGCAUUAGCUUGUUGGUGAGGUAACGGUGCAACAAGGCGACGAUGCUUAGGGGGACUGAGAGGUUUCCCCCCCACACGGGUACUAAGACACGGACCAGACGCCUACGGGAGGCAGCAGUGAGGAAUAUUGGUCAAUGGGCGCAAGCCUGAACCAGCCAUGCCGCGUGCAGGAUGACGGCUCUAUGAGUUGUAAACUGCUUUUGUACGAGGGUAAAGUGGGUUACGUGUAACCUUUUGAAAGUAUCGUACGAAUAAGGAUCGGCUAACUCCGUGCCAGCCGCCGCAGUAA
rnacentral:rRNA from 1 species